AUUAAACGCUGGCGGCAUGCCUUACACAUGCAAGUCGAACGGCAGCACGGGGGCAACCCUGGUGGCGAGUGGCGGACGGGUGAGUAAAGCAUCGGAACGUAUCCUGGAGUGGGGGGAUAACGUAGCGAAAGUUACGCUAAUACCGCAUAUUCUGUGAGCAGGAAAGCAGGGGAUCGCAAGACCUUGCGCUCUGGGAGCGGCCGAUGUCGGAUUAGCUAGUUGGUGGGGUAAAGGCCUACCAAGGCGACGAUCCGUAGCGGGUCUGAGAGGAUGAUCCGCCACACUGGGACUGAGACACGGCCCAGACUCCUACGGGAGGCAGCAGUGGGGAAUUUUGGACAAUGGGCGGAAGCCUGAUCCAGCCAUGCCGCGUGAGUGAAGAAGGCCUUCGGGUUGUUAAAGGCUCUUUCGGCGGGGAAGAAGUUGCUUGGGUUAAUACCCUGAGUAGAUGACGGUACCCGAAUAAGAAGCACCGGCUAACUACGUGCCAGCAACCGCGGUAA
rnacentral:rRNA from 1 species